ACGGUAACAGGUCUUCGGAUGCUGACGAGUGGCGAACGGGUGAGUAAUAUAUCGGAACAUACCCUAGAGUGGGGGAUAACGUAGCGAAAGUUACGCUAAUACCGCAUACGAUCUGAGGAUGAAAGUGGGGGCUCGCAAGACCUCAUGCUCAUGGAGUGGCCGAUAUCUGAUUAGCUAGUUGGUGAGGUAAAGGCUCACCAAGGCGACGAUCAGUAGCUGGUUUGAGAGAACGACCAGCCACACUGGAACUGAGACACGGUCCAGACUCCUACGGGAGGCAGCAGUGGGGAAUUUUGGACAAUGGGGGCAACCCUGAUCCAGCAAUGCCGCGUGAGUGAAGAAGGCCUUCGGGUUGUAAAGCUCUUUUGUCAGGGAAGAAAAGGUAUCCUCUAAUACAGGAUGCUCAUGACGGUACCUGAAGAAUAAGCACCGGCUAACUACGUGCCAGCAGCCGCGGUAAUACGUAGGGUGCGAGCGUUAAUCGGAAUUACUGGGCGUAAAGCGUGCGCAGGCGGUUUUGUAAGCCAGAUGUGAAAUCCCCGGGCUCAACCUGGGAAUGGCAUUUGGGACUGCAAGGCUGGAGUGUGGCAGAGGGGACUAGAAUUCCUGGUGUAGCAGUGAAAUGCGUAGAUAUCAGGAGGAAUACCGAUGGCGAAGGCAGGUCCCUGGGCUAACACUGACGCUCAUGCACGAAAGCGUGGGGAGCAAACAGGAUUAGAUACCCUGGUAGUCCACGCCCUAAACGAUGUCGACUGGUUGUUGGGGGUUUGACACUCUCAGUAACGAAGCUAACGCGUGAAG
rnacentral:rRNA from 1 species